GCGGGUGUAGUUCAAUGGUAGAACUCCAGCCUUCCAAGCUGGCAGCGUGGGUUCGAUUCCCAUCACCCGCUCCA
rnacentral:tRNA from 1 species